rnacentral:tRNA from 1 species
CAGGGAGUAGUUUAAUUUAGAAUAUCAGCUUUGGGUGUUGAUGGUAGAGUGACAAGUUCUUUCCCUGA